UCUCUCUCUCUCUCUCUCACAGCAACAAGAAGCUCUUUUACAUAAGCCAUCGCAAAGCCAUUUCUUUUAUUGGGUAUGUAAAUCAAUGAACUCUAUCCACACUCUUCCCUACUCUUCUUCUCCACGCUACUUCUUCACCCACAACUCCUUCUCUGUUAAACGCCGCCGUUCUCGCCAUUCCCGACGGCACAGCACCACCAAGACCUUCGAAAUCAAUCCCGGCAAGCGCUCUUUAGCUAAUGAUCAUGUUAACGAUACCCAAAGUCUUAAAUUAGUUGUUGAUGUUAACCAAAUAUCAUCUCUAACCUCUUCUAGAUUCCAUCGAUUUGUUUCUUUGGCGGAAGAUGCUUAUUAUGACUUGAAGACUCUCAUUACGAUAAACGAGAAUAAUCGGAUUCUGUUCUCGUGUCGCAAAUCGACUCUGCAGUUUACUGGCGCUGUGUUGCUUUGUGGGUUUGUUUUAGUUUCGACGAUUAGGGUUUUAAUCAAAUUGUUGUUGGGGUUUAGGAGUAGGUUAAGGGUUCCGAGACAGAAUGUUGUGGUUCGUAGGGACAGGAGUCUUGGAGGGAGAGAGGUUGUUGUAGCCGCGACAGUGAAUGACAGAGGACAUGUGAAGAGGAAGAGUUCCAGGGUUCUGGACAAUCCCCUUUCACUACCGGGUUGGGUUUUUGGUUCGGAGUUGGGAAGAGAUGAUUGGAGGAGUUAUAGGGUAAGGAGCCAAGCGAAGUUGCCAAAAUGGUGGCCAGUUUCAGUGGCCGCGGAGCAGGACCUGGUGGUGGAUAAGCAGGAGUACCAGAGGGAAGCCAACAGAUUAAUACGAGGUUGGAGUCUUUUCAAUUUUAUCUAGUCCUAUAUCUCUUUGAAUUAAUGGUUGAGGUGUAAAGCAAUAUCAAUAAUCUGGUAUUUAUAACUUGGGUAGCUGUGGAGAAAUUUAUUUGUUGGCCCUCUUAAUUUCAUCUGGGAAUGGUUAUUGAUUGAUGAGGGUAAUACUGAAAACUAAGGGCUUAUGUGAUUCAAUUCCAAACACAAAAUUUUGUGGAAUUCAAUUGAAUAAAUGAAGAAUAAAUUGUUAUUGCAGGUUGUGUUUGUGCCACAAAAUAAAAAAUGUUAUAGGUUGUGUGGUUUUGCAUCUAUCAACUUCAAUAGCUAAAAAAUUAUGGGUUAUUUGCAAGAAAUAGUGAAGAUUGGGGUUGAAAUACAAUGUUCAUUCUAUCAUUUUAAACUUGAAAAUUUGAAACCCAGAUAAUUUAAAAUUUUUUUAUUUUUUUUUGGUAAUUUCUCUCUGUUUGACAAAAUUUGUAUAAGGUUUUAACUAGCUAUAAAACAAACUUUAUAUUAAUAUAUGGCUUGUAUGAAAUGGGUUGAUAAUAUGUAAGAAUUUCCAAGAAAAAUUUUGGCUUUAAGUUUGAAUUGUUUUAAGUAUGAUUCUCAUAUUGGUUUGUGUUUCCUUAAUAAAAAAAGGGUAGGUCUUCAAUUCCAAUGUUUUCUAAAGUUUGAGAAGACAUUGUACUGAUUUAAAAUUUGGGCAUCAAUUAGUAAUUAACCCCAAAGAUCAGGGGUGAGUGUGACAUUAUUUACUCUAUUUAUUUCCUUGAUCUUAUGGGAUUAAUAUGUCAAAAUAAUAUUUGGUGAGGCGUCCUUUGAGGUUUGUUUUCUUGCAAUCCCACUUUCCAUAUCUUGAGCAACAUUUCUAUUAAAAUUAUCUGGGAUGAACGGAUUCAUUGCAAGUUUGCAACUAUUCCAUAUCUAGAACAACAUUUCUAUAUGUUCUUUAAUAUUAUUAUCUGUUAUGAUUCUAUGCCUUAAAAUCUUGUCUAUGAGGUUGUUUUACUAGUAUUUUAUCGCUGGGCUUUCUCUUUGCUGCAGGUAAAAGAUGCACAUUUCUGAAAUUUCAAUAAAUGCUAUAUUAAUCAUUUUUGUGCUAGUUACAACUCAUCAACUUGAUUUCCAGCAAUCACGGACUAUAAAACAACUGGAAAGGAUGUUACAGAGCAUGAUAUAAUUCAAGUCAGUGCUGCUGGAUCCUUUUGUUUGUCAUUCUGAUUCUUUAAUUUCGCAUAAUAACAUGAUCAAGAACUUCUUGAUUUUCAUUGAGUCAUCACAUUUGUCUAAAAAGAAAAAAAGAGAUAUUGGUGUAUGGUUCACAUAAUCCCUAUUGCUAAUACAAUUGUCCAAAAAAUAAUGGAAAUAUCACAUAUGAAAAUCCCAUUCGUUAUCUGAUUCACUAGCCUCCUUUGUGGUGACCUUUUUAGUGGCCUUUGAUUAGGUAAAAUUUUCUGGUAUUUUAAUUUGGUUUGAGCUUACAUCAUGUCAUUUCAAAUGAGACCUUACACAAGAUAUCGAGUUUUGGUAGAGGAGUAGCUCUUUCUUUUGGUGGCAUUGCUUUACCUUUUCUUUUAUGGAUCCAGUGUUUUUUCAUUUGGAUAAAAUUAAUGUAUAUGCAACUUGAUUAAUGAGCGUAUAAGCAUGGUUUUAAAUCGCAGUCGCGGCCGCAUUCAUGAGUAAUGGAAUGGGCUUGUAACGAUAGUAAAGUAGCAGUAAUGGCCUGUUGCUAUGCAAAAAAUUUGCAAAGUUUAUAAAAU
rnacentral:misc_RNA from 1 species